UGAGUCACGCCUCUCCUCCAACUCGGGAUUUAAAUCUGUUGGGAAGGCAGUAUAUGGAGGAUGAGAAGUCAAGAACCGGGGCCUGCUUCCGACCCGCUCGCUGGCUGUGUGACCUGGAGAGACGCGCCCUCCUGCUUAGCUGCCUGAGUCUCACUGCAGUUGGUGGGGUAGAGGCUGUGCUGUAUGGGCUUUCUAGCUCCUUCCAUAGGUGUAUACUCUGAAUGAACAGCCAGUGACUUGUCAGCGGCCAGAGGAAGAUGUGAUGGGAGAGAGAAGGUGGUGAGCUUGGAAGAGACAGACACAUUCCUUCAGGAAAGCUCCCAUAGGAUUCACUUUUGGUUCUCUCACCUGGCCUCUCCCACCGAAGGCAUGAUACAUAUUUAUUGAAUGUAUUGGCACAAGUUGUUUAUAAAACCUUCGCUUGGAUUGUAGUUAGUUCCUCCUCACUCAAGCACUUCCCCUCCCUUCCCCCUCCAAGCCCACCUACUCUGGAAGCCUCCAAGAUCGGCCCAUCGGCGUUUGUCCUGAAACACACAGAAGGAUUUCUGCGCUAGAUACUGACUUUUUGGUAUUUCCUGCUGGAGCUCUGUCUGGGUGGAGUUGCCGCUGAAGUGCCAGAGUUUUCCUGUUUGUGCAGUUGAUUUUCAAAACCUUAAAUAAACUCUGUUGUGAUGUGUUCAGAAUCGUAACAACUCAACAGCUGUUUAUUGAGCACCUACUACGAGCCCGGCCCUGUUCCAGGGGCUGAGUGGAUGGUGGUGACCUCAGAAGACACCCCGUUCAGCGAGCUCUCAGUCAGGUCCAGGACACUGAUUAGUAAACAGGCACUUGCCCUCCACGUGGUGAGGGCCGUGAAGGAUAAAGUCCAGGGUGCUGGGAUGAGAGGUGGGGGUGGGGGCAAAUAGCAGGGGCAGCGAACCCAGGCUCAGGCCUGGCAAGGCUUGGGGUCGGGGGUGUGGAUGUGCCAACAGAGAACCAAAUCCCACUAAAACCAAACCCCCAAAACAUGAGAAACUAAAGUUUGUAGAAUCUGUUCUCAUUUAUCUGCAAGUCAAUGACUCCCCUUCCUUUGCAAGGAAACUUUUC